UCGUGGGGGAUAACGUAGCGAAAGCUACGCUAAUACCGCAUACGAACUCUGGUUGAAAGCGGGGGAUCGCAAGACCUCGCGCGAUUGGAGCGGCCGAUGGCAGAUUAGGUAGUUGGUGGGGUAAAGGCUCACCAAGCCUGCGAUCUGUAGCUGGUCUGAGAGGACGACCAGCCACACUGGGACUGAGACACGGCCCAGACUCCUACGGGAGGCAGCAGUGGGGAAUUUUGGACAAUGGACGCAAGUCUGAUCCAGCCAUUCCGCGUGCAGGAUGAAGGCCCUCGGGUUGUAAACUGCUUUUGUACGGAACGAAAAGCGCCUGGUUAAUACCUGGGCGUCAUGACGGUACCGUAAGAAUAAGCACCGGCUAACUACGUGCCAGCAGCCGCGGUAAUACGUAGGGUGCAAGCGUUAAUCGGAAUUACUGGGCGUAAAGCGUGCGCAGGCGGUGAUGUAAGACAGGUGUGAAAUCCCCGGGCUUAACCUGGGAACUGCAUUUGUGACUGCAUCGCUGGAGUGCG
rnacentral:rRNA from 1 species